rnacentral:rRNA from 1 species
UACAGAGGUCUCAAGCGUUGUUCGGAUUCAUUGGGCGUAAAGGGUGCGUAGGCGGCGCGGUAAGUCGGGUAUGAAAUCUCGGGGCUUAACUCCGAAACUGCAUUUGAUACUGGCGUGCUUGAGGACUGGAGAGGAGACUGGAAUUCAUGGUGUAGCAGUGAAAUGCGUAGAGAUCAUGAGGAAGACCAGUGGCGAAGGCGGGUCUCUGGACAGUUCCUGACACUGAGGCACGAAGGCCAGGGGAGCAAACGGG